rnacentral:rRNA from 1 species
UGGGGAAUAUUGGACAAUGGGGGCAACCCUGAUCCAGCCAUGCCGCGUGUGUGAAGAAGGCCUUAGGGUUGUAAAGCACUUUCAGUGGGGAGAAAGGUUAUUCAGUUAAUACCUGAGUAGAUUGAUGCUACCCACAGAAGAAGCACCGGCUAACUCCGUGCCAGCAGCCGCGGUAAUACGGAGGGUGCAAGCGUUAAUCGGAAUUACUGGGCGUAAAGCGCACGUAGGUGGUUUUUUAAGUCAGCUGUGAAAUCCCCGGGCUCAACCUGGGCACUGCAGUUGAAACUGAAAAGCUAGAGUAGGGUAGAGGGGUGUGGAAUUCCAGGUGUAGCGGUGAAAUGCGUAGAUAUCUGGAGGAACAUCAGUGGCGAAGGCGACACCCUGGACUCAUACUGACACU